GCGAAGGCAGCGUACCGGCGCCACACUGACGCUGAGGCACGAAAGCGUGGGGAUCGAACAGGAUUAGAUACCCUGGUAGUCCACGCAGUAAACGAUGAAUGCUGGUUGUCCGGGUCGAAUGAGAUCUGGGCGGCGAAGCGAAAGCGAUAAGCAUUCCACCUGGGGAGUACGCCGGCAACGGUGAAACUCAAAGGAAUUGACGGGGGCCCGCACAAGCGGAGGAACAUGUGGUUUAAUUCGAUGAUACGCGAGGAACCUUACCCGGGCUCAAACGGGAGCGGAAUGGACCAGAGACGGUUCAGCCUACGGGCCGCUUCCGAGGUGCUGCAUGGUUGUCGUCAGCUCGUGCCGUGAGGUGUCGGCUUAAGUGCCAUAACGAGCGCAACCCCCGCCGGCAGUUGCUAACGGGCAAUGCCGAGGACUCUGCCGGGACUGCCGCCGCAAGGCGAGAGGAAGGCGGGGAUGACGUCAAAUCAGCACGGCCCUUACGUCCGGGGCGACACACGUGUUACAAUGGGCGGUACAGCGGGAAGCCAGGCGGCGACGCCGAGCGGGACCCGAAAGCCGUUCUCAGUUCGGAUCGGAGUCUGCAACCCGACUCCGUGAAGCUGGAUUCGCUAGUAAUCGCGCAUCAGCCAUGGCGCGGUGAAUACGUUCCCGGGCCUUGUACACACCGCCCGUCAAGCCAUGGGAGCCGGGGGUGCUUGAAGUGCGUCGCCGCGAGGCGCGCCCUAGAGCAAAACCGGUGACUGGGGCUAAGUCGUAACAAGGUAGCCGUAA
rnacentral:rRNA from 1 species